rnacentral:rRNA from 1 species
AACGAACGCUGGCGGCAGGCCUAACACAUGCAAGUCGAACGCUCCGCAAGGAGAGUGGCAGACGGGUGAGUAACACGUGGGAAUCUUCCUAUCGGUACGGAAUAGCUCAGGGAAACUUGAGGUAAUACCGCAUACGCCCUUCGGGGGAAAGAUUUAUCGCCGAUAGAUGAGCCCGCGUCUGAUUAGCUAGUUGGUGGGGUAAUGGCCUACCAAGGCGACGAUCAGUAGCUGGUCUGAGAGGAUGAGCAGCCACACUGGGACUGAGACACGGCCCAGACUCCUACGGGAGGCAGCAGUGGGGAAUAUUGGACAAUGGGCGCAAGCCUGAUCCAGCCAUGCCGCGUGAGUGAUGAAGGCCUUAGGGUUGUAAAGCUCUUUCGCCGACGAAGAUAAUGACGGUAGUCGGAGAAGAAGCCCCGGCUAACUUCGUGCCAGCAGCCGCGGUAAAAC